rnacentral:lncRNA from 1 species
AAACUGCAACCACAGGCUUCCAACACUAAGAUGCUCAACCGAAGAAGCCACGCUCUUAAGAGAGCAGGAAAAAACUGGUUUCGUUUUGCCCAGAAUGUGAUACUCCGGAACAUAGAGGAAAAGGUAUUAAAUCUCUCCUCUUGGCUCACUGAUCUCCGUGGACCCAAUUUCCACCCUGUAAUUAAGCAUCUGGAUACACUCUGAGUUGCAUUACGGGAAAUGCUGUUUUGAGAGUAUCACAUAGUUGAGCAACCACCCUCUGCUUCUCAAAGUGAUAAAAUGGUGAUGAAUUGCAAAUGCCAGAGUGUUUGAUGACCUUUCCAAUGAUUUUCUUGAUUACUGUCCAAACAUCCUUGUUACACAUAUGGCUUCUGUGAAUAGUAAACUAUUAUAGCAAUUUAAAUUAUUUAAAUUAGUAUGUGCUCCAUGUUUGUUUUUUACAUUUUUGGUAAUUC